rnacentral:rRNA from 1 species
GACGAACGCUGGCGGCGUGCCUAAUACAUGCAAGUCGAGCGGAGCGGCGGACGGGUGAGUAAUGCCUAGGAAUCGGCCUGGUAGCGGGGGAUAACGUCCGGAAACGGGCGCGAAUACCGCAUACUAUCAGAUGAGCCUAGGUCGGAUUAGCUAGUUGGGGGGGUAAAGGCCUACCAAGGCGACGAUCCGUAACUGGGCUGAGAGGAUGAUCAGUCACAUGUGAACUGAGACACGGUCCCGGCUCCUACGGGAGGCAGCAGUGGGGAAGAUUGGACAAUGGGCGAAAGCCUGGUCCAGCCAUGCCGCGUGUGUGAAGAAGGUCGUCGGAUUGUAAAGCACUUUAAGUUGGGAGGCGUUACCAACAGAAUAAGCACCGGCUAACUUCGUGCCAGCAGCCGCGGUAAUAC